UACGUAGGUGGCAAGCGUUAUCCGGAAUUAUUGGGCGUAAAGCGCGCGCAGGUGGUUUCUUAAGUCUGAUGUGAAAGCCCACGGCUCAACCGUGGAGGGUCAUUGGAAACUGGGAGACUUGAGUGCAGAAGAGGAAAGUGGAAUUCCAUGUGUAGCGGUGAAAUGCGUAGAGAUAUGGAGGAACACCAGUGGCGAAGGCGACUUUCUGGUCUGUAACUGACGCUCAGGCACGAAAGCGUGGGGAGCAAACAGG
rnacentral:rRNA from 1 species